CUGAUGGACAAGCGACUGCCAAUGCAAUGUUAUGUUUCUAAUCACGUGUGCUGAACGUGCAAACAUCAUUAAUAAGAAAACCUAGUUCAUGUAAUUAGUUUGGUUGGCACUCAGCACCGUUUUAUUAUUAACCACUCUCGCUGUAAGUCAAUCGGGCGCCCCCUAGAAAACGGCAACGUGCAGGAUCCAUUUCAGUGCACACAGAAAAGUGUUUCAGAAAGACGGGAUGGUAUUCUAAAUGAGAUAUCAAUCUGUUAGGGAAACAAAAAAAAACAAAAAAACACUAUAUUCCAGAAAGUAAGCAUUUGAUGUACAUACAUGAGUCGAGAUUUCUGAGCAUUAAACAGUGAAACAAACACCAAGGUGCGUUUUGUUAAAUGCAAGAUAGGUUAUAAUUAACACAGCGCUAUGUAUGAUGGAAAUGAUAGGAAACUGCAUAUUAAUUAUGCUCACAACUCAGUCACACUAACUUGCUGCAGGUGCAGGUCCUUCCCUCUGGUGUUUUCAUGAGCUACUCUGUGAUUGGGCAAAACACUGAAAUUCAAAGCUCACAACGUCGCUAUUGGGCAAGUUUCACACGCAUGUGACAGCAACCACUCCUGACACUCGGUUUCUCGGUAAACAGCCCCGCGGAACACUAAUAAAUUAGACUGGGAAUAGAGAGACCGCUUAUCUUCAUGAUAUCAGACUUCCGUUUUGUUUUGACAGCCUGACGGGAAUGCAAAAGCUCAACAUGUGCAACACGGUCAGUCAGACCUGACGUUGAAAUGUGUCGUUUCAAACUUUAUGCUGUACUACAAAACUGACACAUUUAAAUAGGAAAAAUAAUGGAUAUAAUACCAGUUAUUUUGCAUUUAUUCUUUCCAAACAUUUUGAAUUGUCUACUCUUGACCUUGAGCGAAAGGGAAGUGAUUCCUAAAUGAACUAGGCUAUAAUUCUGUCAAUCCUGUCACUUAUCUUAAUAGCCUAUACAGUUUUCUUAAAUUUAGCUUGAGGUAAAUGUAUUAGCACUUAAAGACAUUCUUUGAUAAAGUUUUCUAUUUAAAAUAUCUAAAGAAAUUUGCUUUAAAAAUAGGCUACAUUUUGUUUAUUUGUUUAAUUUCAUGAAAUGAUCCUUAAACACAACAUGUUUGUAGUAAAGCAAAGAAAAACUGGUUCUUGCUGUUGUCCCAAAAAAAAAAAAAAAUUCCUCUUCACUCCUGGAUAUGUCUCAGGUGUGCACUUUAACUCCAUAUAGCCUAGAACAACAGAUGCAACAGAUUCAGCAGUUUGCGCUGGUUUAGCUCCGCAAUUGUAAUUUGAAUGGGAACUUUACUAUUGAACGGAGGAAACGUUUCUCGAUGUCUCGCUUGUCAAGUCAUAAAAAGGGAGUCGCAUGGCAGCAUUCAUUUUAACACAUGAACCGCCUGUAUUUAAUCAUGCAGCCUUUAUAAAACUUAAAAGCGGCCUAGAAACUUCAAGAGACUUGGAUCAAUGAAUCAUCCAAUAAUCAGAUUUUCACAUUAGUUUUAUGUUUCAGAAUUCGAAAUUAAAUAUUAUUUGAUUGUGGAGCAUAUUUAAAUGCCCACUUAGGCCUAAAUGUGCUAGGUCUGAAUUCAAAACUCCCGUCACAGCUAUCAAGAGACUUACAUUUACGCAUUGAUUUCAGCACUGAUUGGCUGAACAGCGCCUAUAGGCCCGAUGACGAACUUUUCACUCACGAAGUUGGCGGGAAGAGUCAGGUGAACUGAAAACUAUAAAACAAAAAAGCAGUUUAGUAGAUAUUUUCUAUCAAUGACAACAUAUAUUAGAGAAACUUUUAACAGAAAUUUACAUGACAUUCUGUGUCAAACAUGAACCUCAUAUUCACUUUGAAAAGUUUAAAUGAAUGCCAUUGAACGUGAUGAUCUGAAUGACCUUGAAUUUUAACACGAGAUUUAGGUUUAAAUAUGGCAUUUAAUUCAGACUCUAUGCCUAUUUCAAAUCGUGAUAUUAUUUAAAAAAAAAAAAAAAAAAAAAAAGUAAUUAAAAGUACAAAUAUAUUAAUCAAAAAUUGACGUGUUGUCUAUAGCUAAACAAUGAGUUACAAAACCUACACCGUUUAUUCAGGUUUAUUUUCCAUUGAUCCUUUAUGAGGCAAGACGAAUGUUACCAAGCAUUCAAUCUCGGAUAACCAAAAAUAAAAUAAUAAUAAUAAAAAGAAUUUAAUUUAUAUUAAAAUUCUAAAAUUCACAUAAUUUUGUCUCGUUUAAUUGUGGCAGACAUUAGAGACGCCUUUAUAGCAUUUUCUGCCAAGUUCUACGAGAAGGUAGUGAAUGCCAAGGCAACUGUGCCAAAGCUUUUGGAGGCAGAGUGGCAAAGACGAAGCAAAAACUGCAGUGUGUAAAGGACAACGGAGCGAACUACAGGGAUUGAACUCUUCGAAAGAAACCAUAUUUGGGGUUUUAUGAUGCAUUUUCUGCUCAUUUUUAAGUGUGGAAAAAGUCACGGGACCAAAUCAGCCACAAGAGGGUGAUCUUUCUAUACAGAAGUCCUUUUGAUAUCCAGUCUGAGCGCCUGUAACCGUGAGCCCUCCUUCCAGUUCAGCAAGAGUGCUUUGUCCAUCAAUAUGUUGAACUUAAACCGCUUCGGAAUGUUGUCAAAUAUCACAUGCACUUCAAUAAAGAAAUCUUGACAAAUA